rnacentral:rRNA from 1 species
GACGUAGGGGGCAAGCGUUGUCCGGAAUUAUUGGGCGUAAAGCGCUCGUAGGCGGGACAGGAAGUUCGUGUUGAAAGACCUCGGCUCAACUGAGGGACCGGCUCGAAUACUCUUGUUCUUGAGGCAAUCAGAGGGUGAUGGAAUUCCCGGUGUAGCGGUGAAAUGCGUAGAUAUCAGGAGGAACACCUGUGGCGAAAGCGGCUCACUGGACCAUAACUGACGCUGAUGCACGAAAGCUAGGGGAGCAAACAGG